AGUGGGUGUAACGUACCUACUAGCCUACGACGGGUACGGGUUGUGAGAGCAAGAGCCCGGAGAUGGAUCCUGAGACAUGAAUCCAGGCCCUACGGGGUGCAGCAGGCGCGAAAACUUUACAAUGCGGGCAACCGCGAUAAGGGGACCUCGAGUGCUGGGUUACAAACCUGGCUGUUGGGCUGCCUAAAAAGCAGUCUAUAGCAAGGGCCGGGCAAGACCGGUGCCAGCCGCCGCGGUAACACCGGCGGCUCGAGUGGUAACCGCUAUUAUUGGGUCUAAAGGGUCUGCAGCCGGCCGACUAAGUCUCUCGGGAAAUCUGGCAUCUCAAGUGUCAGGCUGCCAGGGGAUACUGGUCGGCUUGGGACCGGGAGAGGUGAGAGGUACCUCGGGGGUAGGGGUGAAAUCUUGUAAUCCUCGAGGGACCACCAGUGGCGAAGGCGUCUCACCAGAACGGAUCCGACGGCAAGGGACGAAAGCUAGGGGCACGAACCGGAUUAGAU
rnacentral:rRNA from 1 species